rnacentral:rRNA from 1 species
ACCGGACCCUUCGGGAGCUUGUACAGGUGCUGCAUGGCUGUCGUCAGCUCGUGUCGUGAGAUGUCGGUUAAGUCCGCUAACAGCGCAACCCUCGCUGUGUGUUACAAGUGUCACACGGAACUGCCGGUCAUAAACCGGAGGAAGGUGGGAUGACGUCAAGUCAGCAUGGCCUUUAUAUCCUGGGCUACACACACGCUACAAUGGGAAGGGACAAUAGGUUGCGAAGCCGCGAGGCGGAGCCAAUCCAGCAAAACUUCCCUCAGUUCAGAUUGCAGGCUGCAACCCGCCUGCAUGAAGUUGGAGUUGCUAGUAAACGCAGGUCAGCCAUACUGCGUUGAAUACGUUCCCGGGGCUU